GAGUGGGGUAGAGGCGCGGGUAAGAUGAGUACCGGUUCGGAAGUGGUGGCCCACUGAUGAUGAAUGAGGGAAAGGCUGACCGCCGAAGCGGAGAGCCUGCCAUGGGUUCGCUGCUGGGCCGGCAUUAAACAAAUGUCGGACUGUCACCACAGAGUCUGUUUUGUUCUGCUGGUGAUGCGCUACUUCAUGA
rnacentral:ncRNA from 2 species